UAGGGAAUCUUCCGCAAUGGGCGAAAGCCUGACGGAGCAACGCCGCGUGAGUGAUGAAGGUCUUCGGAUCGUAAAACUCUGUUAUUAGGGAAGAACAAAUGCGUAAGUAACUAUGCACGUCUUGACGGUACCUAAUCAGAAAGCCACGGCUAACUACGUGCCAGCAGCCGCGGUAAUACGUAGGUGGCAAGCGUUAUCCGGCAUUAUUGGGCGUAAAGCGCGCGUAGGCGGUUUUUUAAGUCUGAUGUGAAAGCCCACGGCUCAACCGUGGAGGGUCAUUGGAAACUGGAGAACUUGAGUGCAGAAGAGGAAAGUGGAAUUCCAUGUGUAGCGGUGAAAUGCGCAGAGAUAUGGAGGAACACCAGUGGCGAAGGCGACUUUCUGGUCUGUAACUGACGCUGAUGUGCGAAAGCGUGGGGAUCAAACAGG
rnacentral:rRNA from 1 species